rnacentral:rRNA from 1 species
AUUGAACGCUGGCGGCAGGCCUAACACAUGCAAGUCGAACGAGUGGCGGACGGGUGAGUAAUGUCUGGGAAACUGCCCGAUGGAGGGGGAUAACUACUGGAAACAGUAGCUAAUAACGCAUACCAUCGGUUGGGCCCUGAUUGGAUUAGCUAGUAGGUGGGGUAACGGCUCACCUAGGAGACGAUCCCUAGCUGGUCUGAGAGGAUGACCGGCGACACUGGAACUGAUGCACGGUCCAGAAUCCUACGGGAGGCAGCAGUGGGGAAUCUUGCACAAUGGGCGCAAGCCUGAUGCAGCCAUGCCGCGUGUAUGAAGAAGGCCUUCGGGUUGUAAAGUACUUUCAGCGAGGAGGCGUUACUCGCAGAAGAAGCACCGGCUAACUCCGUGCCAGCAGCCGCGGUAAUUC